rnacentral:rRNA from 1 species
UACGGGGGCGCGAGCGUUGUUCGGAAUCACUGGGCGUAAAGCGCACGUAGGCGGCUUACUAAGUCAGAGGUGAAAGCCUGGAGCUCAACUCCAGAACUGCCUUUGAUACUGGUGAGCUUGAGUUCGGGAGAGGUGAGUGGAACUGCGAGUGUAGAGGUGAAAUUCGUAGAUAUUCGCAAGAACACCAGUGGCGAAGGCGGCUCACUGGCCCGAUACUGACGCUGAGGUGCGAAAGCGUGGGGAGCAAACAGG